CGAGCGUUGAAAAGCUCGGGGAUGACUUGUGGGUAGCGGUGAAAUUCCAAUCGAGCCCGGAGAUAGCUGGUUCUCCCCGAAAUAGCUUUAGGGCUAGCCUCAAGGGGAGAGAUACGGAGGUAGAGCACUGAAUGUCCUAGGGGGUAUUGCACCUACCGAAGACUAUCAAACUCCGAAUGCCGUCAUCUUAUACUUGGGAGUCAGACUG
rnacentral:rRNA from 1 species